CAGCAGCCGCGGUAAUACGGAGGGAGCUAGCGUUAUUCGGAAUUACUGGGCGUAAAGCGCACGUAGGCGGCUUUGUAAGUAAGAGGUGAAAGCCCAGAGCUCAACUCUGGAAUUGCCUUUUAGACUGCAUCGCUUGAAUCAUGGAGAGGUCAGUGGAAUUCCGAGUGUAGAGGUGAAAUUCGUAGAUAUUCGGAAGAACACCAGUGGCGAAGG
rnacentral:rRNA from 1 species